rnacentral:rRNA from 1 species
AUGGCUGUCGUCAGCUCGUGUCGCGAGAUGUUCGGUUAAGUCCGGCUAACCGAGCGCAACCCUCGUCCGUAUGUUAUAUGUGUCAUACGAGACGUGCCGGUAAAAAGCCGGAGGAAGGUGAGGAUGAUGUCAAGGUCAGCAUGACCUUUAUAUCCAGGGCUACACACACGCUACAAUGGUCUGUACAAUGGGUAGCCAAGCCGCGAGGCGGAGCCAAUCCUGAAAGCAGGCCUACAGUUCAGAUUGCAGUCUGCAACUCGACUGCAUGAAGCCGGAGUUGCUAGUAACCGCAGGUCAGCAAUACUGCGGUGAAUACGUUCCCGGGUCUU